rnacentral:rRNA from 1 species
GACAGAGGGUGCAAACGUUGUUCGGAUUUACUGGGCGUAAAGCGUGCGCAGGCGGUUUUGUAAGUCAGAUGUGAAAUCCCCGGGCUUAACCUGGGAACUGCGUUUGAAACUACAAGGCUAGAGUGUGGCAGAGGGGGGUGGAAUUCCACGUGUAGCAGUGAAAUGCGUAGAGAUGUGGAGGAACACCGAUGGCGAAGGCAGCCCCCUGGGUUAACACUGACGCUCAGGCACGAAAGCGUGGGGAGCAAACAGG